rnacentral:rRNA from 1 species
CACGUAGUUAGCCGGCGCUUUUUCUGCAGGUACCGUCACUCUCGCUUCUUCCCUGCUAAAAGAGGUUUACAACCCGAAGGCCGUCAUCCCUCACGCGGCGUUGCUGCAUCAGGCUUUCGCCCAUUGUGCAAUAUUCCCCACUGCUGCCUCCCGUAGGAGUCUGGGCCGUGUCUCAGUCCCAGUGUGGCCGGUCACCCUCUCAGGCCGGCUACCCGUCGACGCCUUGGUGAGCCAUUACCUCACCAACAAGCUGAUAGGCCGCGAGCCCAUCCCCAACCGAAAAAUCUUUCCCACCACAGAACAUGCGUUCAUGGUGCAUAUCCGGUAUUAGCAGCCGUUUCCGGCUGUUAUCCCAGAGUCAGGGGCAGGUUGCUCACGUGUUACUCACCCGUUCGCCACUAAUCCACCAGAGCAAGCUCCAGCUUCAUCGUUCGACUUGCAUGUGUUAAGCACGCCGCCAGCGUUCAUCCUGAGCCAGGAUCAAACUCU